rnacentral:rRNA from 1 species
AUUGAACGCUGGCGGCAUGCUUUACACAUGCAAGUCGAACGGUAACAGGCCGCAAGGUGCUGACGAGUGGCGAACGGGUGAGUAAUGCAUCGGACAGUGCCCAGUCGUGGGGGAUAACUACUCGAAAGAGUAGCUAAUACCGCAUACGAUCUAUGGAUGAAAGCGGGGGACCGUAAGGCCUCGCGCGAUUGGAGCGGGCGAUGUGGGAUUAGGUAGAUGGUGGGGUAAAGGCUUACCAAGCCAACGAUCUGUAGCUGGUCUGAGAGGACGACCAGCCACACUGGGACUGAGGCACGGCCGAGACUCCUACGGGAGGCAGCAGUGGGGAAUUUUGGACAAUGGGCGCAAGCCUGAUCCAGCAAUGCCGCGUGCAGGAAGAAGGCGUUCGGGUUGUAAACUGCGUUUGUACGGAACGAAACGGCUCUGGUUAAUACCCGGGGCUAAUGGCGGGACCGGAAGAAUAAGCACCGGCUAACUACGUG